rnacentral:hammerhead_ribozyme from 15 species
AACUGGUCAGGAGCUUAUGCUACCAUCCUAAUGAGGCCAUGGUAGGCCGAAACCAGUU